AGAGUUUGAUCCUGGCUCAGGAUGAACGCUGGCGGUAUGCUUAACACAUGCAAGUCGAACGAAAGUCUUCGGAUUUUAGUGGCGGACGGGUGAGUAACGCGUGAGGAUCUGCCUAUAGGUUGGGGACAACAGAUGGAAACGUCUGCUAAUACCCAAUGUGCCGAGAGGUGAAAGCUUUAGUGCCUGUAGAUGAGCUCGCGUCCGAUUAGCUAGUUGGUAGGGUAAAGGCUUACCAAGGCGACGAUCGGUAGCUGGUCUGAGAGGAUGAUCAGCCACACUGGGACUGAGACACGGCCCAGACUCCUACGGGAGGCAGCAGUGGGGAAUUUUCCGCAAUGGGCGAAAGCCUGACGGAGCAAUACCGCGUGCGGGACGAAGGCUUUUGGGUCGUAAACCGCUUUUGUUAGGGAAGAACACAAUGACGGUACCUAACGAAUCAGCAUCGGCUAACUCCGUGCCAGCAGCCGCGGUAAUACGGAGGAUGCAAGCGUUAUCCGGAAUUAUUGGGCGUAAAGCGUCCGCAGGUGGUUUAUCAAGUCUGCUGUUAAAUCGUAGGGCUUAACCCUAUAAAGGCAGUGGAAACUGAGAGACUAGAGUACGGUAGGGGUAGCGGGAAUUCCCAGUGUAGCGGUGAAAUGCGUAGAUAUUGGGAAGAACACCAGCGGCGAAGGCGCGCUACUGGGCCGAAACUGACACUCAUGGACGAAAGCUAGGGGAGCGAAAGGGAUUAGAUACCCCUGUAGUCCUAGCUGUAAACGAUGACAACUAGGUGUUGCGCGUAUCGACCCGUGCAGUGCCGUAGCUAACGCGUUAAGUUUCCGCCUGGA
rnacentral:rRNA from 1 species